rnacentral:rRNA from 1 species
AUACGGAGGGUGCAAGCGUUAUUCGGAAUCACUGGGCGUAAAGGGUGCGUAGGCGGUUUGAUAAGUCUGAUGUGAAAUCCUAUGGCUCAACCAUAGAACUGCAUUGGAAACUGUCAGACUAGAAUACUGAAGGGGCAGAUGGAAUUAGUGGUGUAGGGGUAAAAUCCGUAGAUAUCACUAGGAAUACCGAAAGCGAAAGCGAUCUGCUGGGAAGUUAUUGACGCUGAGGCACGAAAGCGUGGGGAGCAAACGGGAUUAGAUACCCCUGUAGUCC